rnacentral:lncRNA from 1 species
UAUCUUAGUACACUCUGGCAAGCAUAACAACCAACAAAAAAAAAUCUUCUUAAUGUAACCCUUGUGUUCAGUAUUCAAUUGUUCAUUCAAAGCACCUAUCAAAUUUGUUUUGCAGAAGUGUCUAAACACUAACUGCAUACAAAGACAUGCUUACUAUUUAAAUACAUUACAACACUAAAUCUAUGGAAAUCAAAUACAACCCUACAUGCCUUCUCGUCUGAGAAGCUUUACUGUGUUCACCGAGUUCCUGCAUGACAUUAAACCCAAACCAAACAAGGAUAAACAAUAUAUCAAUAACACCCAUAAAAUUAAAAAAACCAAUAAAUGGUGGAAAAAAGUAAAAAAUAAAUAAAAC